rnacentral:rRNA from 1 species
UGCAGUCGAGCGGCAGCACGGGUACUUGUACCUGGUGGCGAGCGGCGGACGGGUGAGUAAUGCCUAGGAAUCUGCCUGGUAGUGGGGGAUAACGCUCGGAAACGGACGCUAAUACCGCAUACGUCCUACGGGAGAAAGCAGGGGACCUUCGGGCCUUGCGCUAUCAGAUGAGCCUAGGUCGGAUUAGCUAGUUGGUGAGGUAAUGGCUCACCAAGGCGACGAUCCGUAACUGGUCUGAGAGGAUGAUCAGUCACACUGGAACUGAGACACGGUCCAGACUCCUACGGGAGGCAGCAGUGGGGAAUAUUGGACAAUGGGCGAAAGCCUGAUCCAGCCAUGCCGCGUGUGUGAAGAAGGUCUUCGGAUUGUAAAGCACUUUAAGUUGGGAGGAAGGGCAGUUACCUAAUACGUGAUUGUUUUGACGUUACCGACAGAAUAAGCACCGGCUAACUCUGUGCCAGCAGCCGCGGUAAUACAGAGGGUGCAAGCGUUAAUCGGAAUUACUGGGCGUAAAGCGCGCGUAGGUGGUUUGUUAAGUUGAAUGUGAAAUCCCCGGGCUCAACCUGGGAACUGCAUCCAAAACUGGCAAGCUAGAGUAUGGUAGAAGGGUGGUGGAAUUUCCUGUGGUAGCGGUGAAAUGCGUAGAUAUAGGAAGGAACACCAGUGGCGAAGGCGACCACCUGGACUGAUACUGACACUGAGGGGCGAAAGCGUGGGGAGCAAACAGGAUUAGAUACCCUGGUAGUCCACGCCGUAAACGAUGUCAACUAGCCGUUGGGAGCCUUGAGCUCUUAGUGGCGCAGCUAACGCAUUAAGUUGACCGCCUGGGGAGUACGGCCGCAAGGUAAAACUCAAAUGAAUUGACGGGGGCCCGCACAAGCGGUGGAACAUGGGGGUUAAUUCGAAACAACGCGAAGAACCUUACCAGGCCUUGACUCCAAUGAACUUUCC